rnacentral:rRNA from 1 species
ACGCUGGCGGCAUGCCUAACACAUGCAAGUCGAACGGUAACAGGUCUUCGGAUGCUGACGAGUGGCGCACGGGUGAGUAACGCGUGGAUAUCUGCCUAUUAGUGGGGGACAACUUUCGGAAACGGAAGCUAAUACCGCAUAAUCUCUACGGAGGAAAGCAGGGGACCUUUCGGGGCCUUGUGCUGAUAGAUGAGUCCGCGUCUGAUUAGCUAGUUGGUAGGGUAAAAGCCUACCAAGGCGAUGAUCAGUAGCUGGUUUGAGAGGAUGAUCAGCCACACUGGAACUGAGACACGGUCCAGACUCCUACGGGAGGCAGCAGUGGGGAAUUUUGCACAAUGGGGGAAACCCUGAUGCAGCGAUGCCGCGUGUGGGAAGAAGGCUUUCGAGUUGUAAACCACUUUCAAUUGGGAAGAAGGGAUGAGWGUUAAUAACACUCUGACUUGACGGUACCUUUAGAAGAAGCACCGGCUAAUUUCGUGCCAGCAGCCGCGGUAAUACGAAAGGUGCAAGCGUUGUUCGGAUUUACUGGGCGUAAAGAGAUCGUAGGUGGUUUGAUAAGUUGGAUGUGAAAUCCCGGGGCUCAACCUCGGAACUGCAUCCAAAACUGUCAGACUUGAGUUCGGGAGGGGUAAGCGGAAUUCCGUGUGUAGCAGUGAAAUGCGUAGAUAUACGGAGGAACACCUGAGGCGAAGGCGGCUUACUGGACCGAUACUGACACUGAGGAUCGAAAGCGUGGGUAGCAAACAGGAUUAGAUACCCUGGUAGUCCACGCCCUAAACGAUGUCAACUAGCCGUUGCGGGUAUCGACCCCUGCAGUGGCGCAGCUAACGCGAUAAGUUGACCGCCUGGGGAGUACGGUCGCAAG